AUCCUUCUGGUUCAUAAAUGUGAUGAGUGGGUUUUUGCACGCGAUUGCGUGAGAUGUGCCGUCCUGUUUUUCUUGUUACGCAUAGGUACAUAACCCAUCUGAUU
ensembl:snoRNA SNORD13 small nucleolar RNA, C/D box 13